GGAUGAAAAUGAACUCAACGGUCCACUUCCUCCAGGUCUUGGAAAAUUGAGCAAUCUGGCAGCACUGUAAGUUUUAUUUAAGUGACAUAACUUUAUGGAAGAGAAAAUUCUAAUAUUCUAAUUGAAAGACUUUAUUUAUAAUGUUGGAUAAAGGAGUAUUUAUAGAGUAGAAAAUUUAAACUAAUUAGGAAUAAAAUUACUAAUCUAAACCUAAUUAGAAAUAAAUAUAAAAAUCAAACUAAAUACAUUUCAAGUUACAAACCAAUAAGUAAAAGUAAAUCGGAGGGAAUAAUAAAAACACAAGAAUUCCUGUCAUUAUUAGUAAGCAUGUCUUUAUUAUUUAUCUAUUAAAAUAUAUAAUUAAAUAUUAAAUUAGUCAAAUCAAUAUAUGAGUUAUAAAUUAUAUUGCUUAUAUUGCCGACUUCUGAAAUUUUAUGGUUAUAGCUCGUUGGGAUCCAACUAUCUUAUUCGGAACAUCCCAAAAAGAAAUAGGCAAUUUGUCUCCUAAAAAAUUCAAAUAAUUUUAGCUUGUUUUAGUUCAAAGUUGUUUAUUUUAUUAUUAUUCUCAUUUUUUUUAAAGGGGUCUUUUGAUGUCAAAUAUUUGUAAAAAUAUUUUAAGUUCCAAAACUGUGAUUCAAUAUACCGGAUUACAUUGCAAAUUGGGAGAAUCUCACUAUAACAUCCCAGGCCUGUCCGCUUUGGGCCCAAUGCCUGCACGGUUUUCUUUUUGGGCUAGAGAACCACCUGUCAGCUCAAAACACGUCUUGGCAUCCUAAGACCUGUCCAACCUUAAGUACAUCACUUUUACCUUGUGCUUAGCCGAUGUGAAAUUUGUCUAAGGUAUCACACUCACUUAUCUGGAACUUAUGGGAAAUAAUUUUGAAGGGAAUCUAUCAGAAGGGAUUUUUAAACUUGCAAAGCUUUUUACAUUGGAGGCCAGCAGUUCAAAAUAAGCUGGUUAAAGCUUUCUAAGACGAGAUUUUUUCAGCGUGCAGUUCCCGCAGCAUGCAAACUUAACACACUUAGAGUCUUUGGAUCUUUCAUUCCAUGAUUUGAGAAAUGUUCCUAACGUGAACCAUGAAAAUGAAACACUUUUGCAUUCCCCAAAUUGGAUUAUUAUUCAGCCGAACAGUGAGUACAUAUAUCGAAAAGAAAAAGAAUGCCCUGUGAAGUAUCACUACUGUCUAUAAACCGCGGUGGCGAGGCGGUGAAAUUUGACAGACAAAACUAUGAAAAUGAUUCUUCAUUAUCAAAAUUUUACGAAAGUCCGCAAGGAAAUUGGGCUUAUAGCUUUUCUGGAGGCUUUGUCACAACAUUUUUCAAUUCAAGUGAUUACAUAAAGGACUUAAGAGGUGGAGUUUCAAUUCCUGAGGAACAGUUAUAUACCAAUGCCCGUGUUGCUCCUGUCUCUCUCACCUAUCAUGCCUUCUGCUUGUGUAAAGGCAAAUACGAGAUCGAACUUUAUUUUGCUGAAACUUUAUUUUCUAAGAAGGAAGAUCACAGCAUAGUGGCCAAACGCAUUUUUGAUGUAUAUAUUCAGGGAGAGAGUAUUACAGGAUUUCAACAUCAAGAAAGAGGCUGGAGGUGCCAAUAAGAACAUUGUAAAAACUUUUACGGCUACAGUACCUAACAAUGAAGCUCUGCAAAUAGACUUCUUCUGGGUUGGCAAGGGAUCUGUUACGGGUCAAAAUGGUCCUCUCAUUUCAGCUAUUUCUAUAACUCGUGGCUCAACUGUCGAAUUUGACCUUAGCGGUGAAGAAGCUUUUCCCUCAAUCAAAGGCAGCUGCAGAAAUAAGAGCAGAGGUUUUUGCAUUGUCUAAGUUGGAAAAUCAGAAUCUUGUUAAACUGUUAGGUUCUUAUUCAAAGAGAGGCCUUCAUUUGCUAAUUUAUGAAUAUAUGGAUAACGGAUCCCUUGAGCAAGUCUUAUUUGGUCCUAAUCGUUCUCUGCAACUUAGUUGGGAAACUAGAUACAGUAUUUGCCAACAAAUAGCCCUCGGUUUGGAACAUCUGCAUAAAAAGGAGCCACCCAUCAUCCACAGAAAUACCAAGGCCAGUAAUAUUCAUCUUGAUGGAAAUUGUGAGGCCAAAAUCUCAGACUUUGGAUUGGCAAAACUUUAUGAGGAAGAUGAUCCAUUUAUGUUCACUAAAGCAGGAAGCACACUAAUGUACAUGGCACCCAAAUACGCAUCUCAUCAAAACAUAACUGUGAGAGUUGAUGUUUAUAGCUUGGGCCUCUUGCUUCUUGAAAUUGUUAGUGGGAUAAAGAUUGAUCAAAAUCUCGGAGAUCAUAACGGUAGCUUUUAUCUUUUGGAAAAGGCCGAUAAAUGUUAUAAACAAAAAAUAUACGAAGAACUAGUCUAUCAGACAUUGAAAGAGCGUCCGUCAGGGAAACUAUUAUCAACAACACGAAACCAAGCCAUCACCAUUAUUGAUUUGGCAAUGUUGUGCACUGAAAAAUUGCCCUCCAAUAGGCCUUCAAUAUCUGAUGUGGUGAGUGUGCUUCUAGGUGAAAAAACUGUUAAGGAAAUUACUGAGAAAAAGGCUUCUCUCAAGUAUAAUUUGUGACCAUUAUAAUGUGUAAUGGUAAUUGUGCACAGAGUCCAACAGUAAGUGUUGUUUAUUUUGUGACCUACCUCUCAAGACAUAUUUUAUAUAAUUUGUGACUAUUACAAUGUUA